GCUGGCGGCGUGCUUAACACAUGCAAGUCGCACGAGUAACUCUUCUGCUUGCAGAAGAUAGUAAAGUGGCGCACGGGUGAGUAACGCGUGGGUAAUCUACCCUCAAAUCCGGGAUAACUUCGCGAAAGCGGGGCUAAUACCGGAUAACAUUCUUUGUCCUUCGGUACAUUGGAUCAAAGGUGGCCUCUACAUGUAAGCUACCGUUUGGGGAUGAGCCCGCGUACCAUUAGCUUGUUGGUGAGGUAAAAGCUCACCAAGGCCGCGAUGGUUAGCUGGUCUGAGAGGAUGAUCAGCCACACUGGAACUGACACACGGUCCAGACUCCUACGGGAGGCAGCAGUGAGGAAUUUUGCGCAAUGGGGGAAACCCUGACGCAGCAACGCCGCGUGAGUGAAGAAGGCUUUCGGGUCGUAAAGCUCUGUCAAGUGGGAAGAACCUGUUUGAUGCCAAUACCAUCAAGCACUGACGGUACCACUGAAGGAAGCACCGGCUAACUCCGUGCCAGCAGCCGCGGUAAUACGGGGGGUGCAAGCGUUAUUCGGAUUUACUGGGCGUAAAGGGCGCGUAGGCGGUCACUUAAGUCAGAUGUGAAAGCCCGGGGCUUAACCCCGGAACUGCAUUUGAAACUAAGUGACUUGAGUUGGGA
rnacentral:rRNA from 1 species